CCCACAAAGUAUAAAUGAAAGUCAAUGGACAGAGUAUUCAUGUGGACGUUCUCUUAACAAUGGAAGGGACAUCAACGUUUUGGAGGGAAGCAACAUGGAAAACAACAGCAGCAAUGCAGCAGAUUUUAAUGGGAAAAUCCAUUACAUGGCUUCAGACGACUUGGAAUAUAU